rnacentral:rRNA from 1 species
UACAGAGGGUGCAAGCGUUGUUCGGAAUUACUGGGCGUAAAGCGCGCGCAGGCGGGUCUGUAAGUCGGAAGUGAAAUCUCACUGCUCAACGGUGAGGCUGCUUCUGAUACUGCAGAUCUUGAGACCGGUAGAGGUUGGUGGAAUUGCAGGUGUAGCGGUGGAAUGCGCAGAUAUCAGGAGGAACACCGAUGGCGAAGGCAGCUCGCUGGGACGGUACUGACGCUGAGGCGCGAAAGCGUGGGGAGCGAACAGG